GUGAGGAAUAUUGCGCAAUGGAGGCAACUCUGACGCAGCCAUGCCGCGUGCAGGAAGAAGGCGCUACGCGUUGUAAACUGCUUUUAACCGGGAAGAAACCCCAGGACGUGUCCUGGGUUGACGGUACCGGAGGAAUAAGCACCGGCUAACUUCGUGCCAGCAGCCGCGGUAAUACGAAGGGUACAAGCGUUAUCCGGAUUCAUUGGGUUUAAAGGGUGCGUAGGCGGAGCGUUAAGUCAGUGGUGAAAUCCUGCAGCUUAACUGUAGACUUGCCAUUGAUACUGGCGCUCUUGAGUGCGCUUGAAGUGGGCGGAAUGUGCCGUGUAGCGGUGAAAUGCUUAGAUAUGGCACAGAACACCAAUUGCGAAGGCAGCUCACUAAGGCGAUACUGACGCUGAGGCACGAAAGCGUGGGGAUCGAACAGGAUUAGAAACCCCAGUAGUCC
rnacentral:rRNA from 1 species